GUUCUCAUUUCAGCAGCAUAUAUACUAAAACUCUAAUGAAACAGAGAUCAGCAGAGCACCUGCACAAAGAGUGUACUCAAAUUUGUGAAAUAUUCCAUAUUUUA